rnacentral:rRNA from 1 species
CCUACGGGAGGCAGCAGUGAGGAAUAUUGGUCAAUGGACGCAAGUCUGAACCAGCCAUGCCGCGUGCAGGAAGACGGCUCUAUGAGUUGUAAACUGCUUUUGUACGAGGGUAAACGCAGAUACGCGUACCUGUCUGAAAGUAUCGUACGAAUAAGGAUCGGCUAACUCCGUGCCAGCAGCCGCGGUAAUACGGAGGAUUCAAGCGUUAUCCGGAUUUAUUGGGUUUAAAGGGUGCGUAGGCGGUCGGAUAAGUUAGAGGUGAAAUCCCGAGGCUCAACUUCGGAAUUGCCUCUGAUACUGGUCGGCUAGAGAGUAGUUGCGGUAGGCGGAAUGUAUGGUGUAGCGGUGAAAUGCUUAGAGAUCAUACAGAACACCGAUUGCGAAGGCAGCUUACCAGGCUACUUCUGACGUUGAGGCACGAAAGCGUGGGGAGCGAACAGGAUUAGAUACCCCAGUAGUC